rnacentral:rRNA from 1 species
CUGCAGCUCAAGUGGUGGCCGCUAUUAUUGGGCCUAAAACGUCCGUAGCCGGUUUAGUAAAUGCCUGGGUAAAUCGUGUAGCUUAACUAUACGACUUCCGGGUAGACUGCUAGACUUGGGACCGGGAGAGGCUAGAGGUACUCCUGGGGUAGAGGUGAAAUUCUGUAAUCCUAGGGGGACCACCAGUGGCGAAGGCGUCUGGCUAGAACGGGUCUGACGGUGAGGGACGAAGCCCUGGGGCGCAAACCGGAUUAGAUACCCGAGUAGUCC